UGCCACCUUGUCGGGAGAAACCGGUUCACUCCGGUGCCGAAGGAGCAACCGCCCCGGAAACUCUCAGGCCAAAGGACCACAAGGUGCCG
rnacentral:ncRNA from 2 species